UGGGGAAUAUUGGACAAUGGGCGGAAGCCUGAUCCAGCAACGCCGCGUGAGGGAUGACGGCCUUCGGGUUGUAAACCUCUUUCAGUACCGACGAAGCGCCGGUAAUGGUGGUGACGGUAGGUACAGAAGAAGCACCGGCCAACUACGUGCCAGCAGCCGCGGUAAUACGUAGGGUGCGAGCGUUGUCCGGAAUUAUUGGGCGUAAAGGGCUCGUAGGCGGUUUGUCGCGUCGGGAGUGAAAACACCGGGCUUAACUCGGUGCUUGCUUUCGAUACGGGCAGACUAGAGGCAUGCAGGGGAGAACGGAAUUCCUGGUGUAGCGGUGAAAUGCGCAGAUAUCAGGAGGAACACCGGUGGCGAAGGCGGUUCUCUGGGCAUGUCCUGACGCUGAGGAGCGAAAGUGUGGGGAGCGAACA
rnacentral:rRNA from 1 species